CAGCAGCCACGGUAAUACGAAGGGGGCUAGCGUUGCUCGGAAUCACUGGGCGUAAAGGGUGCGUAGGCGGGUCUUUAAGUCAGGGGUGAAAUCCUGGAGCUCAACUCCAGAACUGCCUUUGAUACUGAAGAUCUUGAGUUCGGGAGAGGUGAGUGGAACUGCGAGUGUAGAGGUGAAAUUCGUAGAUAUUCGCAAGAACACCAGUGGCGAAGGCGGCUCACUGGCCCGAUACUGACGCUGAGGCACGAAAGCGUGGGGAGCAAACAGGAUUAGAUACCCCGGUAGUCCCUGUCUCUUAUAC
rnacentral:rRNA from 1 species